rnacentral:lncRNA from 1 species
UUUAUCUUUUCUAUUUUUUUUUUUUAUACAUAAUAUGACGCCUCGUUGAAUUUUUUUUUACAAAAUAACACUCUAAAAUUUUAUUAUUUAUAAAAUAAUUUUGUCAAAAUUAUAUUUAAAAAAUUAAUCCUCUUUUUGCCGUGUAGAAACUGAAAUUUUCUCUUAAAGACGAUGAAUGGUUCACCGUCUUCAUGAAGACGGUGAACGAUAAUUUCUCACAAAAUUGGUGAAUUAUUCACCAACUUUCACUUAUUUAUUAUUAUUCCUUUCUGUAUCCCAUAUAUAAUCCUAACAAGCAAAUAAAUAUUUCAACAAACUAUAUAUGAUCAUAACAACCUGAAAAUUCUAAUAAUUUAUUCAUAUAAUCCUAACAAUCAAAAAAAAUCUUAAUAAUCUAUCCAUACAAUCUUAAUAAUCAAACAUCACAUAAAUUUUAACAACUUUAAAUUUUAAUAAUCUAUCCAUACAAUUUUAAUAAUAAAAAAAUCCUAAUAAUCUAUCCAUACAAUUCUAACAAUAAAAAAAAUUCAAAUAAUUUAUCAAUACAAUUCUAACAAUCAAACAAAAUUCUUAAUAUUCUACAUACAAUCAUAGCAUCCUCAUUUUUUAUUUUCCGUAUAAUCUACGUACAAUUUUAACAAUCUUAUUUUUUUCUCUUUCCUAUAUCAUGUAAAAAAAAUUUCAUAUAAUCUACGUAUAAUUUUAACAAUUUUAUUUUUUUUCUCUUUCCUAUAUCAUGUAAAAAAACUAUAAAGAAACGGUGAAUCAUUCAUCGUCUUAAUGAAUGUGGUGAAUUCUGCAUAACCCUUACGUGGCGAAGAGAGAGGGUUAGCUUGCCAAAUAUAAAUUUGAUAGAGUUAUUCUGUAAAUU